rnacentral:rRNA from 1 species
UAUACUCCAGAAUGUAAUAGAAUGUAUCAAUGGGCCUUGUGCCUAUAAAACUAUAUACAACUUUCAGCAACGGAUCUCUUGGCUCUCGCAUCGAUGAAGAACGCAGCGAAAUGCGAUAAGUAAUGUGAAUUGCAGAAUUCAGUGAAUCAUCGAAUCUUUGAACGCACCUUGCGCCCCUUGGUAUUCCGAGGGGCAUGCCUGUUUGAGUGUCAUUAAAUUCUCAACCUUACUAGCUUUUAUGAGCAAUGUAAUGGCUUGGAUGUGGGGGUCUUUUUUUUGCUGGCUUCGAAAGAAAUCAGCUCCCCUAAAAUGUAUUAGCUGGUGCCCCCGUGUGGACUAUCUACUGGUGUGAUAAUUAUCUAUGCCGUUAGAUGUCUGCUUUAAAUAGGGAUGUGCUGCUUCUAAUUGUCCACUUAGGACACUUAUUGACUAUUUGACCUCAAAUCAGGUAGGACUACCCGCUGAACUUAAGCAUAUCAAUAAGCGGAGGAAAAGAAACUAACAAGGAUUCCCCUAGUAACUGCGAGUGAAGCGGGAAAAGCUCAAAUUUAAAAGCUGACGGU